UGAAAGCUGGUUCCCCCAUUACCCCUGCACUAAGCGCUGCACCUGCAGGGCAAAUAACACCAUUGAGUGCAUAUCCUGGGAGUGUGGAGUCCAAGAGGAGUGCAGUAUUCUGGAUGGUGUGCUGGGCUGCCAUUCCAAUGGUCAAGCAAUAUGUCAAGUGGUAGGAGAUCCCCAUUAUUUCACUUUUGAUGGAAUGAAAUACACUUUUGUGGGAACCUGCACCUACACUUUGGUUGAGGUUGUCAACACUGCCACCAAUGUCAUUCCUAUAACCAUACUUGGCAAGAAUGAAGACCGAGGACUAAGAGGGGCCACAUACCUGAAAGAAGUCUACAUCGAUGUGUAUGGUGUACGAAUCACCCUUCAGAAAAACCAAGGAAUCCUGCUGAACAACGAGAGAGUCUACACUCCAGUGCAGAACCGACUGCAAGGCGUGUCCAUUGGAAAUGUUGGCAGAUUUAUAGUAGUGGAAACUGACUUUGGUCUGAUAGUGAAAUAUGAUGGCAAUCACCAUCUGGAAAUCACCCUCCCACGCUCUUAUUUCUCACAGGUAAGAUUUAAUAUACAAACAGCUGGAGUUGUUUCAAUGCUGCUGGUUCAUGCAUUUACUUCUAGUUCCUUUUAUUCCUGUGUUUUGCUGUUGCAUCCUUCUUUGUAGCUGUAUUGUACCAAAUGUAAUUUUUUCCCUCUCUGUUUUUUUCUAUUCACAACAGUUUCUUUGUGUUCCAAGGGGGUAGUUAAAGAAAAUUACCUGUCUAGGGGAAUACUUCCAACUUAGAGAAAUAAACAGCUUGAAGCCCUAGGGAAUCACAGAUUUACUGUAAUUUCUGUUCUGUUUCUCCAUGGGUGCAGUCAAAAUGUCUGAAGUGUC